AUGAACUGGUUAUCAUGUGGCGACAUGAAUACUAGGUUCUAUCAUGUAAAUGUGGUGCUUAAAAGAAGGAAGAACAUCAACAUGAUCAAGACAAGUAAUAGAGAUUUAACUGAAGAUCCCGAGCUUAUCAAAAAUAUUUUCAAAGAUCGGUAUCAACAACUUCAUACAAUUGACGUGGAGGUUGAAGAAUGGUACCAAACCAAGAUCAAAUUUCCCAACAUUGAGGGUAACAUGGUGGAGCAGCUGAAUGAAAAUUUGAAGUCAUAA